CCUACGGGGGGCAGCAGUGAGGAAUAUUGGUCAAUGGGCGAGAGCCUGAACCAGCCAAGUCGCGUGAGGGAUUACUGCCCUAUGGGUUGUAAACCUCUUUUGUCGGGGAGCAAAAGCCGGACGUGUCCGGCUGUGAGAGUACCCGAAGAAAAAGCAUCGGCUAACUACGUGCCAGCAGCCGCGGUAAUACGUAGGGUGCGAGCGUUAAUCGGAAUUACUGGGCGUAAAGGGUGUGCAGGCGGUGUUGCAAGAUGGAUGGGAAAGCCCCGGGCUUAACCUGGGAAAGCCAUGCAUGACUGGAAGACUAGAGUGCGUCGGAGGGGGGGGGAAUUCCAAGUGUAGCAGUGAAAGGCGUAGAUAUUUGGAAGAAAACCGAUGGCGAAGGCAGCCCCCUGGGACGCAACUGACGCUCAUACACGAAAGCGUGGGGAGCAAACAGGAUUAGAUACCCGGGUAGUC
rnacentral:rRNA from 1 species